rnacentral:tRNA from 1 species
GGGGCUGUAGCUCAAAUGGAAGAGCAUUUCGUUCGCAACGAAAAGCUUGAGGGUUCGAGUCCCUUCAGCUCCA